UGGGGGAUAUUGCGCAAUGGGCGAAAGCCUGACGCAGCGACGCCGCGUGGGUGAUGAAGGCCUUCGGGUCGUAAAGCCCUGUCGAGGGGGACGAAACGGUGCCGACCUAACACGUCGGUGCCUUGACGGUACCCCUAAAGGAAGCACCGGCUAACUCCGUGCCAGCAGCCGCGGUAAUACGGAGGGUGCGAGCGUUGUUCGGAAUCACUGGGCGUAAAGCGCGUGUAGGCGGUCCGCUAAGUCUGAUGUGAAAGCCCGGGGCUCACCCCCGGAAGGGCAUUGGAUACUGGUGGACUCGAGUCCCGGAGAGGAGGGUGGAAUUCCUGGUGUAGCGGUGAAAUGCGUAGAUAUCAGGAGGAACACCGGUGGCGAAGGCGGCCCUCUGGACGGUGACUGACGCUGAGACGCGAAAGCGUGGGGAGCAAACAGGAUUAGAUACCCCCGUAGUCC
rnacentral:rRNA from 1 species